GACGAACGCUGGCGGCGUGCUUAACACAUGCAAGUCGAACGGAAAGGCCCUGCUUUUGCGGGGUGCUCGAGUGGCGAACGGGUGAGUAACACGUGAGUAACCUGCCCUUGACUUUGGGAUAACUUCAGGAAAAUGGGGCUAAUACCGGAUAGGAGCUCCUGCUGCAUGGUGGGGGAUGGAAAGUUUCGGCUGUUGGGGAUGGUCUCGCGGCUUAUCAGCUUGUUGGGGUGGUAGUUGCUUACCAAGGCUGUGACGGGUAGCCGGCCUGGGAGGGUGACCGGCCACAUUGGGACUGAGAUACGGCCCAGACGCCUACGGUAGGCAGCAGUGGGGAAUAUUGCGCAAUGGCGGGAAGCCUGAUGCAGCAGCGCCGCGUGCGUGAUGACGGCCUUCGGGUUGUAAACCGCUUUCGCCUGUGACGAAGCGUGAGUGACGGUAAUGGGUAAAGAAGCACCGGCUAACUACGUG
rnacentral:rRNA from 1 species